GUGGGGAAUAUUGGACAAUGGGCGAAAGCCUGAUCCAGCCAUGCCGCGUGUGUGAAGAAGGUCUUCGGAUUGUAAAGCACUUUAAGUUGGGAGGAAGGGCAGUAAGUUAAUACCUUGCUGUUUUGACGUUACCGACAGAAUAAGCACCGGCUAACUUCGUGCCAGCAGCCGCGGUAAUACGAAGGGUGCAAGCGUUAAUCGGAAUUACUGGGCGUAAAGCGCGUGUAGGCUGACAUGCAAGUCGGGUGUGAAAUCCCAGGGCUCAACCUUGGAACUGCACUCGAAACUGCACGUCUUGAGUACUGGAGAGGGAAGCGGAAUUCCGGGUGUAGAGGUGAAAUUCGUAGAUAUCCGGAGGAACACCAGUGGCGAAGGCGGCUUCCUGGACAGUAACUGACGCUGAGACGCGAAAGCGUGGGGAGCAAACAGGAUUAGAAACCCCAGUAGUCC
rnacentral:rRNA from 1 species